GCCCAGGUGGCGAAAUUGGUAGACGCAGGGGACUCAAAAUCCCCCACCGAAAGGUGUGUCGGUUCGAGUCCGACCCUGGGCACCA
rnacentral:tRNA from 3 species